CUUAAUAUUUUUCCAUUACAGAUCUUGUACGUGAACUUAAUAAAUGGAUUUGGAUAGGACCAUUUGCUAAUGGGUGGGAUAUGAAGUGUGCAUAAAAUUAGAUAUGCAUAUAAGCAACCAUUUUUCACGAGAUGGAGAAGCAAUAGGCAGCAACCUCUUUAAUGUUGGAUAUUAUUCAUUUGCAGCAAGCAGCAACGUUACAUAUAUGGAGCAUCUACUCCAGUUUCUUGGCUGUAACGUGGGUUUCAUAUGUGAGAAAAUAUAGUACAAUUUUUCACAAGAUUAAUAUACGGGAUUAGCGUACCGCUUCGAUCUCGUUAUUCCAUUUUAUCGUGUCGUUGAAACCGGACUUUCUUCGAGGUGAAGUAAUAUGGAAGAAGAUUAUUUCUUGGCAUGUAAGGAUUAGCAUCAGCAUUACGACGAGUUCAUUUUGGGUUUAUAUUGACAACUUAAGGUACAGAUGCUCACGUUGGUAACCCGCCAGCUUAGGAGUCCUAUUCAGCUAUCUUGGAGAGCUCCCUUGUUCCGGAGCCUAGAUUUUGGUACAGAAUCUCUUGUGGUGUAUAUGUAUUUUAUCCAGGGGUACGGCGGGGCCCUGUCCCAUCAUAUUUCACUGUUGAAACUCUUAGAGGUCUGUAGACAUGUAUGUGGGUUGUAUUCCGAUGUGGUCAAUUGUGUAUAUGAUCAUUAUGCGUGUUUUAUCGCUAUAGCAGCCUUGUCGGCUUGCAUAUAUUGUCUUAUUGUUGUUGCAGCCUUGUAGGCUUGCUUGUAUUAUCGUUUCGUAGUGGCAGCCUUGUCGGCGUGCGUAAUGUUCUAAUGUGUAGUGGCAGCCUUGUCGGCUUGCGUAGUAUGAUAACAUGUAUAGUGGCAGCCUUGUCGGCUUGCGUAUGUGAAUAUGUUGUGAUGUUAUUAGUUGAGUCCUAUAGUGCCGGCCCUAUAAUGUUGACAGGUAUGUAUGGGUGCCCAGCUCGGGCACUAGUCAUGGCCCACGGGGCUGGGUCGUGACAUGA